CAGUCGCCACGGGAAUACAGAGGGUGCGAGCGUUAAUCGGAUUUACUGGGCGUAAAGCGUGCGUAGGCGGCUUUUUAAGUCGGAUGUGAAAUCCCUGAGCUUAACUUAGGAAUUGCAUUCGAUACUGGGAAGCUAGAGUAUGGGAGAGGAUGGUAGAAUUCCAGGUGUAGCGGUGAAAUGCGUAGAGAUCUGGAGGAAUACCGAUGGCGAAGGCAGCCAUCUGGCCUAAUACUGACGCUGAGGUACGAAAGCAUGGGGAGCAAACAGGAUUAGAUACCCGUGUAGUCCCUGUCUCUUAUAC
rnacentral:rRNA from 1 species